CAGCCGCCGCGGGAAUACGUAUGUCACGAGCGUUAUCCGGAUUUAUUGGGCGUAAAGCGCGUCUAGGUGGUUAUAUAAGUCUGAUGUGAAAAUGCAGGGCUCAACUCUGUAUUGCGUUGGAAACUGUAUAACUAGAGUACUGGAGAGGUAAGCGGAACUACAAGUGUAGAGGUGAAAUUCGUAGAUAUUUGUAGGAAUGCCGAUGGGGAAGCCAGCUUACUGGACAGAUACUGACGCUGAAGCGCGAAAGCGUGGGUAGCAAACAGGAUUAGAUACCCGCGUAGUCCCUGUCUCUUAUACA
rnacentral:rRNA from 1 species